UACGGAGGGUGCGAGCGUUGUUCGGAAUCACUGGGCGUAAAGGGCGUGUAGGCGGCCUGCUAAGUCUGAUGUGAAAGCCCGGGGCUCACCCCCGGAAGGGCAUUGGAUACUGGCAGGCUCGAGUCCCGGAGAGGAGGGUGGAAUUCCUGGUGUAGCGGUGAAAUGCGUAGAUAUCAGGAGGAACACCGGUGGCGAAGGCGGCCCUCUGGACGGUGACUGACGCUGAGACGCGAAAGCGUGGGGAGCAAACAGG
rnacentral:rRNA from 1 species